GGUGAGUGUAUGUAUCUCUAAUUCAUGUCAGCAUGUACCAUUUACACACUUUGCAGCAAUACAGGCAAUUAUAAACGAGGUAUUUAAAAAGGACCAGAAUCAGCAGUAAGUGUUGGCACUAAUGGCAGCAGCAGGAGCAGCAGUACGACGGGCCAGGGGAAACUCAGCCGCAAGACCAAAACAUCAUAAAUCAUCUCGACGCAGGCCAGGCUGGAGCCAGAUAAUGCUAAAUAGCAAAGCUGAAAGGCUAUUUUCACGCAGACUGAUCGGCAGCUACUGUAUGCUGCAGGCAGGGCAGCAGGUCUCUCUCCGGUCCGGAAGAGGGCAGAAGUCCAUCUGCC